UCUCCUCCUGGCUGGAUCCAGAUCCGGCAAGCUGGUGCCGAUUGGGGUUAUGAGUUCACCUAUUCCCUCUCGCAGCCCUAAAAAGUGGGGGAACUCCCACAACAGACACGGGAAGCCGCGAGGAACCGCGGCGCCCCCUGCACGGCGAGGCUGCCACUAAGGAAACAAUAUAAAUAAAGCCACGUGCAGCCGCGGCGGCCCCGGCGGGCUGGCGACCCGGAGUCCGGCCGGUCGCGGAGGCGCGGACGCGGCCGGAGCCGGGACAAUGGCGCGAGAAGGAAGAGACCAGAGUGGACAGCGGCCGCCAGAACUCCGCAGCCACGGGCGCGCGGCGCGGAGGGGCGUGCGCCCGGAGAAGCUCCCGCAGCCCUGCCCAAGCAGCGCAGAGGCCGCAAGCAACUAGUGUCUGCAGCUGGCGGUUCCGGACAGGCCGCAGGGCGAGAGCGGGGGCCGGGGGUCAGCGCCACCACGGAGGACCCCGCCGCGCGCUCCCCACGCCCCAUCGUUUCCUCUUUCCCCAUCCCACUCGCGCCCGCUCCCGCCCCACAGCGGUAAGAGAAAGCAGAAGAAAGCGCGCCCACCUGGCAAAGGACUGAGCAGCAGCAGGAGCAGGAGCGCGCGGAGCAGCAUCCCCGGCGGUCGCAGCCGGGCGAGGGGUCGCAGAGGAGGCGCCAUUCAGCGUAGCCGCGCGGGCAUGCUCCCCGGCCGCCCAGAGCCCCUGUCCGUCUGCGGCCCCCGCCCCGGGCGCUCUCUGCUCUGCGGCUGGUCGCACGCAGCCUGGCUCCCCGCUCCGGCUCCGGCACCGGCGUGGCGAGCGUCUCUGCGGCGGCGAGGCUGGUGCUCGGACGGCCGCUCGCGAGAAGCAAGGGGCCUGAGAGUCCGGCUGGGGGCGGAGUGAGGCGGCGGCUGCAGAGGGCGGGGGCGGCGGAGUGGACAGCGCCGCGGCCGCGGGCCUGGGACUACUUUCUACAUCUGGCCCUUGGUCUGGGCCAGGGAGGUCGGCGCGGCCGGCGGAGGGAGACGCUGGGAGGGGGCCAGUGGCGGCCGGGUCGGAGCCCUGGGGGAAGGGUACGGGUCCCGCCGGACAAUGCACCUGGGGGUCAAGCCCCGGCUGAGGGUCUCCGGCCCGCGUCCCCGCCCCCUCUGCCUCCGCGCCACCGUCGGGGACAGAGCCACAAAGGCCGAGCCUCCUGGCCCAGCCAGCCUCCGGGGCCCCCCUCCCGCGGCUAGUUGAGGAUUGGGGAAGGGGAGGCGGCCGGGGAGGGCUAGUGUUGAGAGACAGGGAAAGGCCGGAGGCUUCUCCCUUGAUGGCCCCCGCCCACCCCCUCCUACACCCUCCUACCCUCACACGCAGAGGCCCGGUGCAGGGAAAUCUCACUCUUUCUCACUUCAGAGAUUUGUCUGCUCCACUGGAGGCAUCUCCGGAUGAUAAGCCCCCGGAGAUGCCCCCUGCAUUUGGGCACGGCUCUUCUUCUCCCUGCCCCCAUUAGAUGCAGCGCGGGCUUAAAAAUAUCUCCGAAGAGUGGUCUCAAAUGAACAAUCGCCUUUAGGGGGAGAGGGUUUAUUAUCUUUUCUUCAAGUUAGUCAAGUUCUUUAAUUUGUGAGAACUGUGCACACAAAAGGCUCUGUCCUGAGAGCAGAGGCGAGAUCAAGAGAUUUGUAGAUUCUGUGAGCUUGCUAUGGGGGAGCAGGCUUUGAUAGAUUACUUGGUUAUAAAUUAAACUAAGACACAAAUGUGAAUUUGUUCACAUCUAAGUUUAAUUAAGGAUAACAGGAGUUAAAACGUACAUUUAAAGAAUGUAAUCAGAUUGCUAAGCGUGUGGAUCAUAGCGUUUACAUGUGGAUUAACAUUUGCUAAUCCAAAACUGAAUCUGUGGCACAUGAUGAGGGCACAGGCUAAAAGCUAGCCUUCAUGAAAGCUGCUGAUGGAAAUCUAGCUUUGGUUACCACGACAUCAACACACUUACUGCCUUUAGCACGUUCCAGAAAUCCUCCUGGGACGGUGCGGUGGCUCAUAUUUGUAAUCCCAGUACUUUGGGAGACCGGGGCGGGCGGAUCACUUGAGGUCAGGAGUUCGGGACCAACCUGGGCAACAUAGGGAGACCGCCCCCGUCUCUACACACCACUGACCCCCGUACCCCCAAAACUUAGCCGCUCCAGUAGUCCCAGCUACUUGGGAGGCUGGGGUGGGAGGAUCACUUGAGACCAGAAGUCGAGGCUGGGGUGAGCUAUGAUCAGGCCACUGCACUCCAGCCUGUUUCCAAUAAGUGAGUAAAUAAACCCUCCUGAUGAAGAAGUAGUGAAAAAAAAUAGUUUAGAACAUUAGGAUAGCACUACCUUUCCCCCUUAAGCUCAUUAUAGUAAGGAACAGCCUAUUUAGCAAUUUCAACUUAACUGCAUGUAAAACAGUAAUAUCCUUGGUAUGUUGCUUCCAAAACUGUAUUUGAAACUUAAAUGAAUUUGGACUAUUUCUAAGCAUCAGAAUAAAGGUAUGUGGGAAGGGAAAACGUUGAGAGGUAAUAAAACGAAACAUUUGCAAGUACGUUUUCAAUUUCUGAUAAUUCAAAUUUAUACAAAAUGAUAUUCCUGUUUGCCAUUAGACUAUUUUUUUCAUUGUAUCACAUUCUCCCCCUUCCCCUUCUCCCUGUUCCCUUUUAGUCGAUCCCAAGUGCUUAUAUUUCCUGA
rnacentral:lncRNA from 10 species